rnacentral:piRNA from 1 species
UGUACAGUAAGGAGCAGACAAGAUGGCACCGA